AAUGAUGAUACAAAAAAAUCUCAUGUCAAUUCCUUUAACAUGAAAAAAAAAAUGAUUAUAAGAUUUUUCCAUUUACCUGAC